rnacentral:rRNA from 1 species
UACGUAGGGGGCUAGCGUUGUCCGGAAUCAUUGGGCGUAAAGAGCGUGUAGGCGGUCCGGUAAGUCCGCUGUGAAAGUCGGGGGCUCAACCCUCGAAUGCCGGUGGAUACUGUCGGGCUAGAGUGUGGGAGAGGUGAGUGGGAUUCCUGGUGUAGCGGUGAAAUGCGUAGAUAUCAGGAGGAACACCGGUGGUGUAGACGGCUCACUGGACCAUAACUGACGCUGAGACACGAAAGCGUGGGUAGCAAACAGG